UACGGAGGGUGCAAGCGUUAAUCGGAAUUACUGGGCGUAAAGCGCGCGUAGGUGGCUGUUCAAGCCAGAUGUGAAAUCCCCGGGCUUAACCUGGGAACUGCAUUUGGAACUGGGCAGCUAGAGUACAGCAGAGGAGUGUGGAAUUUCAGGUGUAGCGGUGAAAUGCGUAGAGAUCUGAAGGAACAUCAGUGGCGAAGGCGACACUCUGGGCUGAUACUGACACUGAGGUGCGAAAGCGUGGGUAGCAAACAGG
rnacentral:rRNA from 1 species